UUCGGUCUUUCUUACGUUUCAGAACCCUUUUUCUUCCAUUUUCUUCCUCUCCUUUUGUUGAGAUUUUUUUCUGUGAUUUCUUUCUUCACAUUUUUUUCUUACAUUUUUUUUUCUCCUCUUUUGAUUUUCUUCUUAUCUAGGUGUUGCUUGAUUCAUAAACCCUAAGCCAAGUUCUGCAAAAACCAAAACACUUUAAAUCUUAAACCCAGUUUUAUCAAGUUGUAUCAUGUCGAUUCGUGGCUAGUGUUACAAGUUUUGAAAGAUGUUUGUGUUGUACAUUAGACGAUUUCCAACGGCGACAAGAAGACAUGAGUGGUCAACUUCUGGUUGCAGAUUUUGGCCAUUUGAGUUGCAGAUUUUGGCUGAAACCAUUGUAGAUAAAGGCUUGCAAACUUUUGUAAAGCUGAAAUCAUUGUUCUGAAGAAUACUGUAAAUUACUUGUGAAUUGUUGUAUAGAUGAAACUAUUACUAUAGAAUUCACAAAUGUUUGAUGGAAUUUUUUGUAAAUAUAACACCAACAAUCAAUGCAGGAUUUCAGUCUCUUGUUCAA